rnacentral:rRNA from 1 species
AAAAAUGCAAUUUAAUUAAUUUUAGGAUUAAUAUAUUUAUUUGAUAGAAAAUUUAAGUUAAGAUUUUUUAGGUGAAAUUUAAAAUUUUUAAAUAAUUUAAAAUUAGGGAGUAAGAAAUUAUUUAAUAAAUUUAAGGAUAGACUAGGAUUAGAUACCCUAUUAUUUUGAAUGUAAAUGUAACCUAGACUGGUAGGAGUUAAAUUUUUGAAAAUUAAAGAAUUUGGCGGUUUUUUAGUCUAUUCAGAGGAACCUGUUCUGUAAUCGAUAAUCCACGAUUUAAUUAUCUUUAUUUAUUAGUUUGUAUAUCGUUGUAGUUGGAAUAUUUUAGAAGAAUUUUAAUAUUCAGAAAUUAUUUUAUAAAAAAAAUCAGAUCAAGGUAUAGCUUAUAGUAAAGUAGAAAUGGGUUACAUUUAUUUUAAUAAAGGAGUGAAAAUUGUAAAUUUAUAUGAAUUUGGAUUUGGAAGUAAUUUUUUUAAAAUUAUAAAAAUGAUAAAAGCUCUAAAAUAUGUACAUAUCGCCCGUCGCUUUCACCUUAAAGUGAAAUAAGUCGUAACAAAGUAGACUUACUGGAAAGUGUGUCUGGAAUGUUCAAAUCAGAGCUUGAUAUUAAAGUAUUUUAGUUACAUUAAAAGGUUAAUUGUGAGAUUCAAUUUGAUUUGAUUUAGAGGGGGUUAUUAAAUAUAGUAAGAAUUUUUUUAGGGGUAAAAAAAAGAAUUAUUAUUUUAGUAAAAAUAGGGAAAUAAUUAUUGGUAAUUAUAGUUUAUUAGUAUCGUGAAAGAAUUUUUUUUUAGGGGUAAAAGAAAAAUUUUUAU